UUCCUACGGGAGGCUGCAGUGGGGAAUCUUGCACAAUGGGGGAAACCCUGAUGCAGCGACGCCGCGUGAGUGAUGAAGCCCUUCGGGGUGUAAAGCUCUUUCGACGGGAACGAUUAUGACGGUACCCGGAGAAGAAGCUGCGGCUAACUACGUGCCAGCAGACGCGGUAAUACGUAGGCAGCAAACGUUGUUCGGAAUUACUGGGCGUACAGAGUGUUUAGGCGGUUCUGUAAGAUUGGUGUGAAAUCUCCCGGCUUAACUGGGAGGGUGCGCCGAUAACUGCAGGGCUUGAGUAUUGGAGAGGAGAGCGGAAUUCCUGGUGUAGCGGUGAAAUGCGUAGAUAUCAGGAGGAACACCGGUGGUGUAGACGGCUCUCUGGACAAUCACUGACGCUGAGACACGAAAGCGUGGGGAGCAAACAGGAUUAGAUACCCCUGUAGUC
rnacentral:rRNA from 1 species